CAGUCGCCGCGGGAAUACGAAGGGUGCAAGCGUUAAUCGGAAUUACUGGGUGUAAAGCGUGCGUAGGCGGUGAGUUAAGUCUGCUGUGAAAUCCCCGGGCUCAACCUGGGAAUGGCAGUGGAUACUGGCUCGCUAGAGUGUGUCAGAGGAUGGUGGAAUUCCCGGUGUAGCGGUGAAAUGCGUAGAGAUCGGGAGGAACAUCAGUGGCGAAGGCGGCCAUCUGGGACAACACUGACGCUGAGGCACGAAAGCGUGGGGAGCAAACAGGAUUAGAUACCCCCGUAGUCCCUGUCUCUUAUAC
rnacentral:rRNA from 1 species